rnacentral:rRNA from 1 species
CAGCAGCCGCGGUAAUACGUAGGGUGCGAGCGUUAAUCGGAAUUACUGGGUGUAAAGCGUGCGCAGGCGGUUCGUUAAGACAGAUGUGAAAUCCCCGGGCUUAACCUGGGAACUGCAUUUGUGACUGGCGAGCUAGAGUAUGGCAGAGGUGGGUAGAAUUCCACGUGUAGCAGUGAAAUGCGUAGAGAUGUGGAGGAAUACCGAUGGCGAAGGCAGCCCCCUGGGCCAAUACUGACGCUCAUGCACGAAAGCGUGGGGAGCAAACAGGAUUAGAUACCCCAGUAGUCCCUGUCUCUUAUAC